GACGAACGCUGGCGGCGUGCUUAACACAUGCAAGUCGAACGGAAAGGCCCUGCUUUUGUGGGGUGCUCGAGUGGCGAACGGGUGAGUAACACGUGAGUAACCUGCCCUUGACUUUGGGAUAACUUCAGGAAACUGGGGCUAAUACCGGAUAGGAGCUCCUGCUGCAUGGUGGGGGUUGGAAAGUUUCGGCGGUUGGGGAUGGACUCGCGGCUUAUCAGCUUGUUGGUGGGGUAGUGGCUUACCAAGGCUUUGACGGGUAGCCGGCCUGAGAGGGUGACCGGCCACAUUGGGACUGAGAUACGGCCCAGACUCCUACGGGAGGCAGCAGUGGGGAAUAUUGCACAAUGGGCGGAAGCCUGGUGCAGCAACGCCGCGUGCGGGAUGACGGCCUUCGGGUUGUAAACCGCUUUCGCCUGUGACGAAGCGUGAGUGACGGUAAUGGGUAAAGAAGCACCGGCUAACUACGUGCCAGCAGCCGCGGUGAUACGUAGGGUGCGAGCGUUGUCCGGAUUUAUUGGGCGUAAAGGGCUCGUAGGUGGUUGAUCGCGUCGGAAGUGUAAUCUUGGGGCUUAACCCUGAGCGUGCUUUCGAUACGGGUUGACUUGAGGAAGGUAGGGGAGAAUGGAAUUCCUGGUGGAGCGGUGGAAUGCGCAGAUAUCAGGAGGAACACCAGUGGCGAAGGCGGUUCUCUGGGCCUUUCCUGACGCUGAGGAGCGAAAGCGUGGGGAGCGAACAGGCUUAGAUACCCUGGUAGUCCACGCUGUAAACGGUGGGUACUAGGUGUAGGGUCCAUUCCACGGGUUCCGUGCCGUAGCUAACGCUUUAAGUACCCCGCCUGGGGAGUACGGCCGCAAGGCUAAAACUCAAAGGAAUUGACGGGGCCCCGCACAAGCGGCGGAGCAUGCGGAUUAAUUCGAUGCAACGCGUAGAACCUUACCUGGGUUUGACAUGGAUCGGGAGCGCUCAGAGAUGGGUGUGCCUCUUUUGGGGUCGGUUCACAGGUGGUGCAUGGCUGUCGUCAGCUCGUGUCGUGAGAUGUUGGGUUAAGUCCCGCAACGAGCGCAACCCUUGUUCACUGUUGCCAGCACGUUAUGGUGGGGACUCAGUGGAGACCGCCGGGGUCAACUCGGAGGAAGGUGGGGAUGACGUCAAGUCAUCAUGCCCCUUAUGUCCAGGGCUUCACGCAUGCUACAAUGGCUGGUACAGAGAGUGGCGAGCCUGUGAGGGUGAGCGAAUCUCGGAAAGCCGGUCUCAGUUCGGAUUGGGGUCUGCAACUCGACCUCAUGAAGUCGGAGUCGCUAGUAAUCGCAGAUCAGCAACGCUGCGGUGAAUACGUUCCCGGG
rnacentral:rRNA from 1 species